ACAACGAGCUUCGAAGACAUAGUGGGUAGAUUGAAAGCGUAUGAAGAACGGAUCGCUGAAGAAGAAGAAGAAACACACGACGAUGGGAAAUUGAUGUAUGGUGAUACGAGCCAAGAUAGUUAUGGAGGAAACUAUAGUGGAGGACGAGGUCGAGGUCGAGGCGGUCGUUCUCAAUGGAGAGGAAGAGGCCGUGGUCGCACCGGAUCAACGUUUCAGAGUCAGCGAGAGGCAUAUAGACAGCGCCUAAACGGAGAUGCGUCACACAUAACUUGUUUCAAGUGUGACAAGCAGGGUCAUUAUGCCACUGAUUUUCCGGACAAGGUACUAAAGCUCCAAGAGACGGCUGAAAAAAAGAUGAAGACACCCAAGAUGCUGAUGAAUUAAUGGUACACGAAGUAGUCUACCUCAACGAGAAUAAAGUAAACCCUACUAGCUUUGAGGCUGAUCUUGAUGCAGAGAACGUGUGGUACCUUGACAACGGUGCUAGUAACCAUAUGUGUGGGAACCGCCUGUUCUUCUACAAGCUUGACGAGACCAUCACCGGUAAAGUAAGAUUUGGAGACAACUCUCGGAUCGACAUACAAGGAAAAGACUCAAUCCGCUUUGUUCUUAAGGAAGGCGAGAAGAAAAUCUUGAAUAAUGUCUACUAUAUACCUGGAUUAAGAAGCAACAUUAUUAGUUUGGGACAGGCUACUGAAGUGGGUUGCGAAGUCAGCAUGAAAGGCAAGACACUGAUGCUAUAUGACAGAUACGGAAGCUUGAUGGUUAGUACUACACGAUCAAGAAACAGACUCUACAAGGUCAGUUUGGAGGUCAAUCGUAUGUACUGUCUACAAAUAACUGAAGCCACACAAUCAUCCGUGUGGCACUCACGACUUGGCCAUGUAAACAUCAACACACUGAAGCUGAUGGCGAAAAAGAAACUUGUUACUGGCAUACCCAACGUCGAGAUUGAGAAAGAAAAGUGUGUCUCUUGUUUACUUGGAAAGCAAGCGAGGAAACCUUUUCCACAGGCAACGAAGUUUAGAGCUUCUAAUCCACUUGAGCUUGUUCACGGGGAUCUUUGUGGUCCUAUUUCACCAUCUACGCCGGCUCAGAAGAGGUAUAUAUUUGUUCUUAUAGAUGAUCAUAGUCGAUACAUGUGGACAAUAUUAUUGAGAGAGAAAAGUGAAGCUCUUGAAAAAUUCAAAAGAUUCAAAACACUUGCCGAGGAAGAAACACAAAGCAAGGUCAAGAUGUUUCGAACCGAUAGAGGAGGUGAAUUUGUGUCUCAUGAAUUCAAUGAAUACUGCGACAAGAAUGGUAUAAAGAGGCACUUGACAGCUCCAUACACUCCUCAGCAGAAUGGAGUCGUAGAACGACGAAACCAAACACUUAUGGAGAUGACAAGAAGUAUCUUGAAGCAUAUGAACGUACCAAAUAGCCUAUGGGGAGAAGCUGUGAGACAUUCUACUUACCUAAUCAACAUACUUGCAACAAGGUCAUUAGAUGAGAGAACACCAUAUGAGAUGCUGCGCUCAAGAAUACCAAACCUCUCGCACUUGAGAAUAUUCGGAUGCCUAUGUUAUGCAAAAACAGAAGCACCGGGAAGAAAGAAACUAGAUGAUAGAGCAAGAGCUCUGGUACACUUAGGAACUGAACCAGGAUCAAAAGCAUACCGAUUACUUGAUCCAGUAACCAAGCGAAUCAAAGUAAGCCGUGAUGUUGUGUUUUAUGAAGGAAAAGAAUGGGAUUGGAGUAAAACAGAGGAAACAGAGCAUCCUAAAGCAGGAGAGCUUGUUGUGAACCUCAAGAAGUUGGGUAAUGCGUCAAAAGAAGUCGAGAUCAUUCAAGAUAAUGAAGAAGGAAAAGAAGAAGGUGAACAUGUUAUUGAUAUUGAUGAUGAAGAAGACAUUGAAGGUGAUGAAGAAGACGAUACACAAGGACCUAGACGGUCACAUCGCGUGAGUACAAAGCCAUCUUAUCUAGAUGACUAUAUUUUACUUGCUGAGGUUGAAGGUGAACGUCUGUUGAUGAUCAUUAACGAUGAGCCAUGGGAUUAUAAUAAAGCCAAGAAGUUGAAUGUAUGGAUAGAUGCUUGCAAGGAUGAAAUAUUCUCUAUAGAGAAAAAUAAUACAUGGGAACUCGUUGUGUUGCCUUCUGGAGUGAAGCCAAUUGGACUCAAGUGGGUAUUUAAAAUAAAGCGUAAUGCCGAUGGUAGCAUCAGCAAGUUUAAAGCACGGUUAGUGGCAAAGGGAUAUGUCCAAAAGUAUGGUAUUGACUAUGAUGAGGUCUUCGCACCAGUGGCUCGGGUUGAGACAAUAAGGCUGAUCAUGGCGCUUGCGGCUUCUAGAGGAUGGGAGAUCCACCACCUUGACGUUAAGACUGCGUUUCUCCAUGGAGAAUUAAAGGAGGAAGUGUUUGUGGUUCAGCCAGAAGGAUUUGUAGUUAAAGGUCAAGAAGAAAAGGUUUAUAAACUCAAGAAAGCACUUUAUGGUUUGCGUCAAGCACCAAGGGCCUGGAAUAUAAAGCUAAACAAGAUCCUACGAGGUCUGAACUUUCAAAGAUGCUCGAAGGAACCUUCACUGUAUCGAAAGGAAGAAAACAAGAGUCUACUUGUCGUGGUUGUUUAUGUAGAUGAUCUAUUGGUUACUGGAUCAUCACUUGAAGUAAUACAAGAGUUCAAGAGAGAGAUGGCUACUAAGUUUGAGAUGAGUGAUCUUGGCAAGUUGACUUAUUACUUGGGAAUAGAAGUUUAUCAAGGAGAGAAUGGUAUUGUGUUAAGACAAGAUCGGUACGCACGGAAGAUUCUUGAGGAAACCGGAAUGGGCUCGUGUAAUCCUACACAUGUGCCAAUGGAGAUGAAUGCCAAGUUUUCGAAGUCACCUGAUGAUAAGGACAUUGAUGCAAGAGAGUAUCGCCGGAGCGUUGGCUGUCUAAGAUACCUAUUACACACACGUCCUGACCUUUCAUUCAGCGUGGACGUGCUUAGUAGGUAUAUGCAAGAACCUAAGGAGUGUCAUGGAGCUGCUCUGAAGCAAAUCUUGAGGUACCUGCGUGGUACAUGCUCUCUUGGUCUUCGGUUUAAGCGUGGUGGUAACUUGAAACUGGAAGGUUACAGUGAUAGCUCCCAUAAUGUGGACAAUGAUGAUGGGAAAAGCACCACAGGCCAUGUUUUCUACCUUGGAGAUAGUCCUAUAACUUGGUGUUCAACAAAGCAAGAGAUUGUGGCGUUGUCAAGCUGUGAAGCAGAGUUUAUGGCUGCUACUGAAGCAGCAAAGCAAGCCAUUUGUCUUCAAGAAUUGCUUGGUGAAGUUCUCAAUGAAGCUUGCAAGCGAGUAAUGAUCAGAGUCGACAACAGAUCAGCAAUAGCACUCACAAAGAAUCCUGUGUUUCAUGGUAGAAGCAAACACAUACAUAGGAGGUUCAAUUUAAUUCGAGAGUGUGUUGAAAACGAGCAAGUGGAAGUUGAUCAUGUGCCCGGAAGUGAACAGAGAGCUGACAUACUAACCAAAUCACUUGGAAGGAUCAAAUUCAAGGAGAUGAGAAACUUGAUUGGAGUUGAAGAUAUGAAUGAAGUUGAGCUCAAGCUUAUGGGGGAGAAUGUUGGAGUAAGCUUGAAGUAACUUGAGAUUGAAGUUACCUAAUCCUAUUGUGUUAUGGAAAUCUAUAAGGAUUAGGAAAUAUUGUUUUUUGUUAAACCUAUUGUGUUUAGGAAACUUUGAUUCCUAUAUAAGAAGAUGUCAAGAUGUGACAUAGCUUAUGAGUUUUAGGUUAUUGAUUUGAUAUUGUGAUUGUGAUCUGAAUUGAGUGAAUAAGAGAAGGACUUCUUAUUAAACUUGUUUGUGUGAUUCUAUAUUUGGUAUCAGAGCAAGCAGGUUCUAAAGAUCGAUCAUGAGUGAUAACAAGGAUGAGAUCGUAGCACACAAAGACACCGGCAUGGCGCACAAAGACAACGGCCCUGCUUCCAUCAAAUUUCCGAUGUUAACUUCUUCAAACUAUACUGUCUGGGCUAUGAGAAUGAAGGUGGCACUUAAGGUCAGUGAGGUAUGGGAAACAAUUGACCCGGGAUCCAAGGAUGAGAAGAAGAACAAUAUGGCUAUAGCGUUUCUAUUUCAAUCCAUACCCGAAGCUCUAAUCUUGCAAGUUGGAGACAUUGAUACAGCAAAGGGAGUUUGGGAUGCAAUAAAGGCAAGACAUGUUGGAGCUGAGAGGGUCAAAGAAGCUAGACUACAAACCCUAAUGGCAGAAUUCGAUAGACUCAAGAUGAAAGAAGAAGAUACAAUAGAUCUCUUUGUUGGGAAACUAUCUGAAAUCUCAUCAAAAUCUGCAUCACUAGGCGAGACCAUUGAAGAAUCCAAACUUGUGAAAAAGUUUCUAAAGACCUUGCCAAGGAAGAAAUAUAUACAUAUUGUGGCCUCUCUUGAACAAGUUCUUGAUUUCAACACAACGAGCUUCGAAGACAUAGUGGGUAGAUUGAAAGCGUAUGAAGAACGGAUCGCUGAAGAAGAAGAAGAAACACAUGACGAAGGGAAACUGAUGUAUGGUGAUACAAGCCAAGAUAGUUAUGGAGGAAACUAUAGUGGAGGACGAGGACGAGGUCGAAGCGGUCGUUCUCAAUGGAGAGGAAGAGGUCGUGGUCGCACU
rnacentral:lncRNA from 1 species